rnacentral:pre_miRNA from 1 species
AGGUAUGAUCUCGUGCUCCGUGGGAGUUGUAUCCUGUGCUUCCUGGGAGGUGUGAUAUCAUGGUU